rnacentral:rRNA from 1 species
GACAGAGGUGCCGAGCGUUAGGCGGAAUCACUGGGCUUAAAGCGUGUGUAGGCGGGCCGUUAAGUGUCUUGUGAAAUCCCCCGGCUCAACCGGGGAAUUGCUGGGCAUACUGGCGGUCUUGAGCAAUCUAGGGGCAGAUGGAACAAGUGGUGGAGCGGUGAAAUGCGUAGAUAUCACUUGGAACGCCAAAGGUGAAGACAGUCUGCUGGGGAUUUGCUGACGCUGAGACACGAAAGCCAGGGGAGCAAACGGG